AAAAAAAAAAAAACAUAACAUAUUUACAUCAUUUAAUUAAAAUAAUAAAAUUUAAAUUAUUUUGUUAACUAAUCAAAACAACUAAUUAAAUAAAAUAAGUUGUAUAACAUAAUUACAUCAUUUAAUCAAAGUUUUCAUUAUUUAGCCAACACUUUACCUUUCUCAGGGAGAAACUUGACGAGGCCAAUAAAGAAAACAAGUUGCUUGAGAAAAGAUUGAAUUUGAGUUGGGUAUUAUUGGCUAUUGACAAUCUUCACUUUUCCACCUUAAGCCCAAGCCAUUUCAUUACGGUUCUUAAGCAGACUAUUAAAACUAUUAGGAAUCUGCUGGCUGGGAUCUAGAUGCUGCUGCCAAUUGAAGCCUAAGUUCACAUUUGCAAAAUUUUGCUGCACCAAGUAUUUGCUACUUAUUCAUCCCAAGAUGGAAGCAUCUCUAUUCGAAAACUUAAAUCAGAGACAUUCGGUGGGAUCCGGAGAAAAGGGAUAAACUAAUACACCCAACAGAACAAGGAUAAAUCAAACAUAGGAAAGAAGGGAUCAAAAAUCAGACAAUAAAACAUAAGAAAGGAGGGAUCACAAAUUAGACAAAAUUUGAGGAAACUCAUAAAGAACAAACUCUGGAUUUCUUUCGCGACAAACAAAAAUUAGAGAGCAUCACCUUCUGUUGGCCGGAGUUUUGCAGGAAUCUUCCCUUCCGUAGCAAAUUUGUUCGUAGCGAGAGAGAUGGUUGGGAGAAUCCGUAGCAAACUUGUUCGUAGAAAGAAAGAUGGUUGGGUUAGAGAGAGAAGUGGAUGGUUCAUCUGAGACCUCACACUCAUUUGACCCA
rnacentral:lncRNA from 1 species